AAAUGAUUGGAAUUGGUCUAGGAGAGUCGCCUUUGACCUCCUCUGUCGAAAUUGCGUGCUUCCUGCCUCUUUUGCAUCCUGUUUCUUUGACUAUAAAAUUGCGUCUUUGGUUUGUUGCAGGAAGAUCGGCCUGGAGGUGCACCUGACUUGGACAUCAGCAAAGCAGCCUAUGUGUCACCUGCUGUAUGCUGAGUUGGCAUUGCAGCACACAGCAGGAGGAAUCGCUUCUUCUUUUCAUGAUCGCAGGAAUGAAUCUUGUCACCAAAGUCGCCCAAAGUCACCACCAGAAACAAGCCAGCUAAUUGAGCAAGAUGUACUGUGAUUUGAUAAAAUAAAGAAUUCAAUUACUAUCCAA